rnacentral:rRNA from 1 species
AGCGUAUAUUAAAGUUGCUGCAGUUAAAAAGCUCGUAGUUGGACUGGCACUGUUUCCUGCCAUGGUGGGUUGAGUUUGUGGUGCUCAGGUACCGCCUGUGUUGCCCUUGCUUGCUGCUUUGAGCUGGUUUUGUAGCGGUGUCACCUUUCAGCCAUGUCUGUGGUGGGAUACCCACAGGUGAAGGCGAGUGUCAGCCCGGGCUAUGGUUCAACGUUGCCCGUCGGCUCGUUUGCAUGCCUUCGGAUGCCCUUGAAAAGGUGUCCUUUGAAAGAUGGCACGUUUACUUUGAACAAAUUUGGGUGCUCAAACCAGGCCGAUGUUGCCUGAAAAGUUUUGCAUGGAAUAAUGGAAGUGCGUUCUAUUUUUGUUGGCUUUCAGAUCCGAGGUAAUGAUCAAGAGAGACAGGCGGGGACGUUUAAUUGCGCUAGAGGUGAAAUUCUUGGACCGCAAUCAGACAAACUAAAGCGAAAGCAUUCGUCAAGCAUGUUUUCAUUGACCAUGAGCGAAAGUCAGGUGCAGACGAUCAGAUACCGUCCUAGUUCUGACCAUAAACGAUGCCAACUGACGAUCCGUGGUGGUAGUACAAUAACCUUCCCCACGGGCAGUCCCCGGGAAACCUUUAAGUCUUUGGGUUCCGGGGGAAUUUUGCAAAGCUGAAACUUAAAGGAAUUGACGGAAGGGCACCACCAGGAGUGGUGGCGGCUUAAUUUGACUCAACACGGGAAAACUCACCCGGCCCGGACACUAUGAGGAUUGACAGAUUGAAAGGUUUCUUGAUUUGGUGGUUGGUGGUGCAUGGCCGUUCUUAGUUGGUGGAGCGAUUUGUCUGGUUAAUUCCGAUAACGAACGAGACUCUAGCCUGCUAAUUAGUGCAUCUGUCCACUGUUCCUGUGCAAGCGGCGUUUUGGCGAUUCUGCUCAGCUCGUCUGCUGCGGAGGGGUGCUCGUGGUCGUGCUGUAGCUUCGGCUGCGGUGUAGCUGCUUGUGCUCGCUGUAGUAGAUUGGGUGGAUGGGCCUGCGUUUGCUUCCGGGUACGGCGCGGGUGUUUACUUCUUAGAGGGACAAGCUA